CCCAAAUCCCGUGGACCUCUGCGAGACGCUAUUUAAGUGUCUCGCGGUAGGUUUUUCGGUCUCAUUCUUCCACAGAUUUCGGGUUCGGGCGCGCGUCGAACACUAAAGGAUAGCAAAGAGCUCUCGUUACAAUGUGGUUUAAACCAAAAGGCCUUACGGGUGGGAGGAUGGGACAAGACCUGUCCCUGUGUGGAUCGAGCAUUAUGGCGGUGCUCCAGCAUCUCAUCACCAAUCCUAAGGAAUUCAGCUGCCUCCCGGGGUGAAUGCAGCUUGUUCCUCUUGGAAUGAUUUUCCUGGGGAGGGAGAUGGCAACCCAGCAGGCGGCACGGUUGGUUCUUGUGAUGGUGUGCUCUUCCCUCACCCGCAUGUCACUGUCAGAUGAUUUGAAUGAUAAUGCUGAUUCUCUGUGAGGUUGUUCCCAUGGUGAUGUAUACAUCUGUCUUACAUUGUGGCACACAGGCUCUGGAGCACUCGGGCUUAGUUGCCCCACAGCAUGUGGGAUCUCAGUUCCCCUACCAGGGAUCAAACCAUUGUCCCCUGCAUUGGAAGGCGGAUUCUCAACACUGGACCACCAGGGAAGUCCCCUAUUUUAUCUUUCUUGAUUUCCUAGAUGCCUCUUCAUCUGCUCAGGGUCAAACUCCUGGAAAGAGUUGAGAGCGGUGAGUACUUGUAACCUUGCUGGUUGUAGCUUGUUUCCAGUGCCAGUGAGGAGAGCAAGCGUUCUGUCUUACCCCUGUUCUAGCCCCAGAGCCAGUAAUGGUGAACCCACUGGGGCUAACUGGGAGAGGGAAUGAAAACUUGUUCUAUAAGGAAGUGUCUGAGGUGCAGCAAAUGCCUGAGGAUAUCAUUUGCUUAGCUUUUCUUGGUUUAUCCAUUAACCCUAGCUAGAAUAAUUCUGGCUAUUUUGCUAAUUACAUGAUCUUCUCAUUCAGGAGCAGCUUGUUCCUUGUUCCUGUAUACUCAUGGAAAGCCUCCAGAGUUGAAAGGUACCAUUGCCAAUUACCUGCUUGUUUGCUCAAAGGUCCAGCUCCUUGUCUGGAGCCUGAGAAUGAAUUGAGGGGAAAGGAGUAAGCCAUAUUUCUGUUCAACUCCAGUCUGAAGUUAAGAGGUCUGAAGAAAGAACAAAGCACACAUAAUGGAAUCCAACUCUCGAAGGAUAUCAAAAAUGGAAUUUUCUUAUACAACCUACCUGUUCAAAUUAGCAUACAAUCAUUUCAGCCUUUCUAAAUAAAACUUUUUGUUUUUUUAAACCUU